rnacentral:rRNA from 1 species
AAAAGGUGGCUAUACUACCGCUUUUGGAUGGGCCCGCGGCGCAUUAGCUAGUUGGUGGGGUAAAGGCUUACCAAGGCAAUGAUGCGUAGCCGAACUGAGAGGUUGAUCGGCCACAUUGGGACUGAGACACGGCCCAAACUCCUACGGGAGGCAGCAGUAGGGAAUCUUCCACAAUGGGCGGAGGCCUGAUGGAGCAACGCCGCGUGGGUGAAGAAGGUCUUCGGAUCGUAAAACCCUGUUGUUAGAGAAGAAAGUGCGUGAGAGUAACUGUUCACGUUUCGACGGUAUCUAACCAGAAAGCCACGGCUAACUACGUGCCAGCAGCCGCGGUAAUACGUAGGUGGCAAGCGUUAUCCGGAUUUAUUGGGCGUAAAGGGAACGCAGGCGGUCUUUUAAGUCUGAUGUGAAAGCCUUCGGCUUAACCGGAGUAGUGCAUUGGAAACUGGGAGACUUGAGUGCAGAAGAGGAGAGUGGAACUCCAUGUGUAGCGGUGAAAUGCGUAGAUAUAUGGAAGAACACCAGUGGCGAAAGCGGCUCUCUGGUCUGUAACUGACGCUGAGGUUCGAAAGCGUGGGUAGCAAACAGGAUUAGAUACCCUGGUAGUCCACGCCGUAAACGAUGAAUGCUAAGUGUUGGAGGGUUUCCGCCCUUCA